rnacentral:rRNA from 1 species
UGGAUCUGAACUUAGAUGGGAUUACCCGCUGAACUUAA